GAAUAGCCCUGAUGGGAGUAAGUAUCCUUUCCUGUCCUUUUUUUAGGACAGGAAAGAUACUGCGUACAGCAGGAAUACUA
rfam:Flavobacterium sp. FPG59 Contig_107, whole genome shotgun sequence.